UGAGCAGGUAUACAGGCCCACAGAGCAUGCAGAUAAUUAUCUGUGACACCCAUGGUGCACUGUGAGCAGGUAUACAGGCCAACAGAGCAUGCAGAUAAUUAUCUGUGACACCCAAGGUGCACUGUGAGCAGGUAUACAGGCCAACAGAGCAUGCAGAUAAUUAUCUGUGACACCCAUGGUGCACUGUGAGCAGGUAUACAGGCCAACAGAGCAUGCAGAUAAUUACCUGUGACACCCAUUGUACACUGUGAGCAGGUAUACAGGCCCACAGAGCAUGCAGAUAAUUAUCUGUGACACCCAAGGUGCACUGUGAGCAGGUAUACAGGCCCACAGAGCAUGCAGAUAAUUAUCUGUGACACCCAAGGUGCACUGUGAGCAGGUAUACAGGCCACAGAGCAUGCAGAUAAUUAUCUGUGACACCCAUGGUGCACUGUGAGCAGGUAUACAGGCCAACAGAGCAUGCAGAUAAUUA